UUCUCACCGCCCUCCCUGUUCCCUGAUUCCCUGCAACACACACAUUCUAUACUGAGCCAGGCAAAAGGCCUGCUGGCACCUCUGGCCUGACCGUACCCAGAGACUGGAUCACAUGCUCCUGCUCCAUGCCUGCCUCCCCAGCGGAAUGGAAGCAAUUCCUCCUUGGACCCUAUGAUAGGCUGCAGAGGGGCACGGCUCAGUGAGCAUUUGUUGAGUGCCUGACUGACUACCCUGCUGAAUGAAUAAGUGAAUGAAUGAAUGACCACACCUGUCUGGAAAUAGCUCCUGAGGGCAAAGCCUGGGCCUCAUCCUCUUGUGGAUCCAGGAGAGCAGUCGCUGAAGAGAAAGAGGAAGAAAAGGAGUGGCUAGAAAAGAAAGUUUAUUUCCACUGCAGGAAGCACUGCCUCCCAUCUGAGAAAUGUCCCAAGCAGGAAUCAGGAAUUCAUCCUGAAGGGAUGUGCCGAGUAAUGUAUGUUCAAAGAUGCCUACUGCAUUAUCAGACGUUGCUUCAGCCCCUGUCAUGAUGAAAGAGCUCUGAGAAUGUGGAAGAACACAGUGGAACUUUCUGGAAGUCUGAAGUAUCCAGUGAAGAGGGCUGCUCAGGGAGGUACUGAUAACUACACCUGGUAACACCCGGACAGCCAGUGCCCAGCUGAUGGACUGCUUCACUUAACUCUGCACUGGGAGGACACCCACACCUACCCCGGACUAUCUCUCAUUGCGUGCUGCGAUGAACUUAUGAGUGAAUGCAUCAAAAAGACCAAGUUGAACUUAUGAGCGAAUGCAUCAAAAAGACCAAGACUUGAUCCCUUGCCCACAAAGAUACAAGGCGGAGGACAAAGCCAUGAAGGAAAAGCCUCACUGAAGAAGAGGAACCUAAGAGAAGCAGGUUCUGCUCUGAUGAACUCCCAUAAAGGCAUUCCCAUAAAGGUGUGGGCCUGAGUGAUAAUCUAGAUAUGGUACAGUUGACAUCAGGUAUAUGGCGGCAGCCAGAAAUUCAACUUUGUCCAUCAGCUCUCUGCACAACAGGAAAGAUGGUGACCUUCC
rnacentral:lncRNA from 1 species